AGUACAAUAUUGCAGUAGUAUUAAGACCAUAUGUUAAAAGGUAUUAACGGACGAUAUAUAUAGUCGUACAAUGUUCAUGUUGGUCAUUCUAACUGUUGCUUAGUAUGUUAAAUCAUAAUUUGUGCUAGAGUCAGAAACUUGUUCAGUUCGAUGGAUUUGAGCAGAUUCUUUGUGGUCUCGGACAACUGAUAACGAGUACCGCUUAUACUUGAUGGACCAUCUAAUUCUGACUGGCACUGCGUAAGUCUCUUUACUGAGAGUCACGAUCUGAUUAAGGUUUAGAUAAGUGACUCUAACAGGAAUCGUCCUCCUAAUUGAGAAUUUUUAAGGUUGCUGAUUAGCCUGUGUUCCGAAAAACAAUAAUUAAUCACCCUUUAUGGAGAGGAGGUAAAGCGAUUUCAGGAAUUAUGGAAGUAGUUUUCCCAACACUGUGAAAUUUCUUCCCAGUCCCAGCAAUUGGUACCUGUGCAUUGACGUCGGCCGAGAUCCCAAUAACUAUAUAUAUAACUAUAGAAUAACUAUGUAUAUCCUAAUAAGCUAUAAAUACCAUGAAAUGGCAUCACGAAGAAAAUGGGAACAAAUUGAAAUGAGUUCUGAAGGAAAUCGUGCCUUCUGGAAGAUUUUGUAUUUAAAUUUUCCAUGUAUGUGGAACUUAAAAAUUAAAUACCACAUCGAUAUUUA